CCUACGGGAGGCAGCAGUGGGGAAUAUUGCGCAAUGGUGGCAACCCUGACCCAGCAACGCCGCGUGAUUGAGGAAGGCCUUCAGUUUGUAAAGAUCUUUAAUCGGGGACGAAUUUUGACGGUACCCGAAGAAUAAGCUCCUGCUAACUACGUGCCAGCAGCCGCGGUAAUACGUAGGGAGCAAGCGUUAUCCGGAUUUACGGGGUGUAAAGGGCGUUUAGGCGGGCAUGGAAGCCAGAAGUGAAAUCUGGGGGCUUAACCCCCAAACUGCUUUUGGAACUGGGUGUCUUGAGUGAGGGAGAGGCAGGCGGAAUGCCCAGGGUAGCGGUGAAAUGCGUAGAUAUUGGGAGGAACACCAGUGGCGAAGGCGGCCUGCUGGACAUUAACUGACGCUGAGGCGCGAAAGCGUGGGGAGCAAACAGGAUUAGAUACCCCGGUAGUC
rnacentral:rRNA from 1 species